CAUUUCGCCUCUUCUUUCUAAAAAAGGAUAUUCUUGCUCAAUUAGGGAUGUUUGCAACAUCAAAUGACCAGGCUACGCGACGCUGCAGCCGCGGCCACUGUGGUGGUCAUGGAUGAGCGCUAAAGAAGUUGAACUUGCUCAUCACCUCCAGACAGACGGCUCGUGUCCAUCCCCUGUCCGGAUGCUACCACCUGCCUCUCAGCUCUAACGCCUGGGUGUGGUGGAGUGGGCUGUUGGGAGUGGAGCAGAACAGGGCUGGUGUGGACUCUCAAUGCUGGUGAAUGAGUCAUCGGAGCGAGGCUAGUCUGUCGAGUUUCCCAGUGGGACGGCCUGGAUCUUCUUAACCCGGGAGAAGGAGACAGACUCGGCAAAGAGGAGACAUUGGGAGAGGUAGCUAUAGGAGGGGAAAGUGUGGAGGAUGACUAAGGGCCCUGAACCACAUGUCCGUGCAGAGAGGAGGGAGGCAUUACUCAUACGGCUAUCACAGGACUCACAGUGUGUCUUCCUCAUGGUUGUCACUCCCUUGGGCCUUCAGCCACACACACACACACACACACACACACACUUAGUUGGGGUCAACUGAAAUCUUCAAAGCCCAUUCCCCUAUACUGUUCUUGGGAUGUCCUGAAGGAUGAAUGAACAAAACUCCUGCUUUUAAAGUGCUUUGCCACAGUGUACUCCUCCAGGCAUGAGUCACGCCACGCUUUUACCCAUACGGCUUCAUAUUGGUCACCUGCCCGUCGCCAUGUGAGCGCCUGCUGGAAAAGUUUCAUCUUGCUCUAGUUUGUGUUUUAGAAAAGGGCAGCAAGGGCUAUCAUCUGCUUUUGUAUAGCGUUCUGAUCUAUAUCUAAAUAAAAAACAACCUUGUUUAAGAAAAUAA